CAUUUAUUUAUUCGAAGCUUUUUAUUUUUUGUUACAAAACAAUGAAAAACUUUCGAUUUUGACCUAGCAAAUAAGCUCUACAAAAGUUUCUUUUUCUGCAUGUAGAGCUUGCAUAUUUCACAACAAAUAUAUUUUAUUCAUUUAAAAAAAACUUACUUGUCAACAGAAGAUGAAAAUUCAAAUGAUUGGUCUAACGUUUUUAACGCUCUAUGUCUCAGUCAUCUAAUGGGUCAAUUAAAGAAAACUCUAAACCAAGAAUUAUUACAUGAAAGAUAUACAAUUGAAAGAAUUCUAAGUGUCCUUAGUCCUGAAAUCAGUUGCUUUUGGUGAAGAUGGACUCGUGUAAAAUCAUUGACCACUGAAUAGUAUAUUUAAAGCCUACAACAUUACUUUUAAUUCCUAAAAACCUUUCAAUUUUCAUUAGAAAAGAAAAGUCAGUGAUAUAUCAUUGAUUUUAUAACGUAUCCUUGAAAUUAAACAAACAACAAAUUAGGUGUGUUGCAAUUAAAUAUUCGACAUUUGACGCCCAUCGUUUUGUACUUGGUAUUUAUAAUACCGGUACAUACAUGAAUGAUUCACUGCUACAAUAAGUAAUUGAAUCCUUAUUGUAUAUGAUUAUAUUGUAAG
rnacentral:lncRNA from 1 species